rnacentral:rRNA from 1 species
AGUGAACGCUGGCGGUAGGCCUAACACAUGCAAGUCGAACGGCAGCACAGUAAGAGCUUGCUCUUACGGGUGGCGAGUGGCGGACGGGUGAGGAGUACAUCGGAAUCUACUUUUUCGUGGGGGAUAACGUAGGGAAACUUACGCUAAUACCGCAUACGACCUACGGGUGAAAGCAGGGGAUCUUCGGCCCUUGCGCGAUUGAAUGAGGCGAUGUCGGAUUAGCUAGUUGGCGGGGUAAAGGCCCACCAAGGCGACGAUCCGUAGCUGGUCUGAGAGGAUGAUCAGCCACACUGGAACUGAGACACGGUCCAGACUCCUACGGGAGGCAGCAGUGGGGAAUAUUGGACAAUGGGCGCAAGCCUGAUCCAGCCAUGCCGCGUGUGUGAAGAAGGUCUUCGGGUUGUAAAGCCCUUUUGUUGGGAAAGAAGAGCAGCAGGUUAAUACCCUGCUGUUUUGACGGUACCCAAAGAAUAAGCACCGGCUAACUUCGUG